rnacentral:rRNA from 1 species
UACGGAGGGGGCUAGCGUUGUUCGGAAUUACUGGGCGUAAAGCGCACGUAGGCGGCUUUGUAAGUUAGAGGUGAAAGCCCAGGGCUUAACCCUGGAAUUGCCUUUAAGACUGCAUCGCUAGAAUCGUGGAGAGGUGAGUGGAAUUCCGAGUGUAGAGGUGAAAUUCGUAGAUAUUCGGAAGAACACCAGUGGCGAAGGCGACUCACUGGACCGGUAUUGACGCUGAGGUGCGAAAGCGUGGGGAGCAAACAGG